CUACGGGAGGCAGCAGUGAGGAAUUUUGCGCAAUGGGGGAAACCCUGACGCAGCAACGCCGCGUGAGUGAUGAAGGCUUUCGGGUCGUAAAGCUCUGUCAAGUGGGAAGAACCUGAUCCAUACUAAUAUCGUGGAUCACUGACGGUACCACUGAAGGAAGCACCGGCUAACUCCGUGCCAGCAGCCGCGGUAAUACGGAGGGUGCAAGCGUUAUUCGGAAUCACUGGGCGUAAAGGGCGCGCGGGCGGUUUGGUAAGUCAGAGGUGAAAGCCCGGGGCUCAACCCCGGAAGUGCAUUUGAUACUGCCUAACUUGAGUAUGGGAGAGGGAAGUGGAAUUCCUGGUGUAGAGGUGAAAUUCGUAGAUAUCAGGAGGAACACCGGUGGCGAGGGCGACUUCCUGGACCAAUACUGACGCUGAGGCGCGAAGGCGUGGGGAGCAAACAGGAUUAGAUACCCUCGUAGUC
rnacentral:rRNA from 1 species